AGUGAACGCUGGCGGUAGGCCUAACACAUGCAAGUCGAACGGCAGCACAGUAAGAGCUUGCUCUUACGGGUGGCGAGUGGCGGACGGGUGAGGAAUACAUCGGAAUCUACCUUUUCGUGGGGGAUAACGUAGGGAAACUUACGCUAAUACCGCAUACGACCUACGGGUGAAAGCAGGGGAUCUUCGGACCUUGCGCGAUUGAAUGAGCCGAUGUCGGAUUAGCUAGUUGGCGGGGUAAAGGCCCACCAAGGCGACGAUCCGUAGCUGGACUGAGAGGAUGAUCAGCCACACUGGAACUGAGACACGGUCCAGACUCCUACGGGAGGCAGCAGUGGGGAAUAUUGGACAAUGGGCGCAAGCCUGAUCCAGCCAUACCGCGUGGGUGAAGAAGGCCUUCGGGUUGUAAAGCCCUUUUGUUGGGAAAGAAAAGCAGCAGGUUAAUACCCCGCUGUUCUGACGGUACCCAAAGAAUAAGCACCGGCUAACUUCGUG
rnacentral:rRNA from 1 species